GGAAAAUCCGUCGACUUUAAAAUCGUGAGGGUUCAAGUCCCUCUAUCCC
rnacentral:tRNA from 149 species